UACGAAGGGGCUAGCGUUGCUCGGAAUCACUGGGCGUAAAGCGCACGUAGGCGGGUUCUUAAGUCAGGGGUGAAAUCCUGGAGCUCAACUCCAGAACUGCCUUUGAUACUGGGAAUCUCGAGUCCGGGAGAGGUGAGUGGAACUGCGAGUGUAGAGGUGAAAUUCGUAGAUAUUCGCAAGAACACCAGUGGCGAAGGCGGCUCACUGGCCCGGUACUGACGCUGAGGUGCGAAAGCGUGGGGAGCAAACAGG
rnacentral:rRNA from 1 species